rnacentral:tRNA from 1 species
GCGCUAUUAGUAUAAUAAAGUAUGGUUGCCUUCCACGCAAUUGGUUAAGUGGUUUAAUAGCGUA